rnacentral:rRNA from 1 species
UAUGGGUGCGCACCUGGUUUGGCUGCGGCUUUCUUCCUGUAGCCGUCCGCGCUUAAUUGCGUGUGCUGUGUUACGGAACUUUUACUUUGAGAAAAAUAGAGUGUUUCAAGCAGGCUUGUCGCCCUGAAUACUUCAGCAUGGAAUAAUAGGAUAGGACCUUGGUUCUAUUUUGUUGGUUUCUAGGACCAAGGUAAUGAUUAAUAGGGACAGUUGGGGGCAUUCGUAUUUAACUGUCAGAGGUGAAAUUCUUAGAUUUGUUAAAGACGAACUACUGCGAAAGCAUUUGCCAAGGAUGUUUUCAUUAAUCAAGAACGACAGUAGGGGG